GUGAUCAUCGAGUCUUUGAACGCAUCUUGCGCUCCUUGGUAUUCCGAGGAGCAUGCCUGUUUGAGUGUCAUAUUAUCUCUCAACCCUUGGGUUGGACUAUGGACGUCUGCGGGAACCAGCCUUCCGCUCGUCUCAAAUGCAUUAGCAGGUGCCCUUGCUCCUUGCUGGCGUUUAGUAAUGCUUGCGCCGCGCGAGGUCGCGAACAGUGCCUUUCUGCUUACCAGCCGGCACCCCGAGUGCCAAUUUUGACCUUCUGGCCUCAAAUCAGGUAGGACUACCCGCUGAACUUAAGCAUAUCAAUAAGCGGAGG
rnacentral:rRNA from 1 species